rnacentral:rRNA from 1 species
AAUGAACGCUGGCGGCAGGCCUAACACAUGCAAGUCGAACGACAGCACAAGAGAGCUUGCUCUCUGGGUGGCGAGUGGGGGGGGGGUGAGGCAUGCAUCGGACUCAGCCCAUUUGUGGGGGUUAACCUCGGGAAACCGGGCUUAAUACCGCAUAUGUAUUACGGGUGAAAGUAGGGGAUCUUCGGACCUUGCGCAGAUGGAUGAGACGAUGCCGGGUGAGCUAGUUGGAGGGGUACAGGGCCACCAAGGCGACGAUCCGUAGCUGGUCUGAGAGGGUGAUCAGCCACACUGGGACUGAGACACGGCCCAGACUCCUACGGGAGGCAGCAGUGGGGAAUAUUGGGCAAUGGGCGAAAGCCUGAUCCAGCCAAGCCGCGUGUGUGAAGAAGGCCUUCGGGUUGUAAAGCACUGUUGUUGGGAAAGAAAAGCAGCCGGUUAAUACCCGGUUGUCAUGACGGUACCCAAAGAAUAAGCACCGGCUAACUUCGUG